GCACAGCUGAGGAGUCCCAUAAUAGGACGAAACGGCCGUCCAGUGU
rnacentral:hammerhead_ribozyme from 1 species